UGCGGAGUAAAGUAGUCUGGUAGCUCGCAAGGCUCAUAACCUUGAGGUCACGGGUUCAAAUCCUGUCUCCGCCA
rnacentral:tRNA from 1 species